AUGUCAAAACGGAAAUAUAAGAAAUACCUGGAGCCUGGCAAUGUGUCCAUCAUACCAGCCAAAACCAGACAAAGGCUUGAGAAGAUGGCUGAUUUUGAGGAGGAAGAUCAAUGAAGGAUAAACAACCACAAUGUUGACCACAGCUCAAUGGACCCAGGACAGAUCCACGAAGACACAGACAAGACCCCGUCACAUGUCUGAUUCAGAGGAGGAAAAUGAAUUGAUGAUAAGCAACCACAAUGUUGACAACAGCUCAAUGGACCCAGAGCAGAUCAACACAGACAAAGACAAGUAGCAGAAAUAGAAUUUUACAUUUAUUUUAUUAUUAAUCACCUUCUAAUUGGUCUGUCUCUAAAAGUGAGGGGGAUGUAUCCUCCUAUCCCCCUGGUUGCUGCGCCCCUGAUUUCAACCACGUUUUAUCAUUUACUGGUCAUUUUGUUAUUUAAUGAUUCAAUGAGUAGCCUACAUUAUUCUGCAAACAAGAAAGCAC
rnacentral:lncRNA from 1 species